GAUGAACGCUGGCGGCGUGCCUAAUACAUGCAAGUCGAGCGAACGGACAAGAAGCUUGCUUCUCUGAUGUUAGCGGCGGACGGGUGAGUAACACGUGGAUAACCUACCUAUAAGACUGGGAUAACUUCGGGAAACCGUAGCUAAUACCGGAUAAUAUUUUGAACCGCAUGGUUCAAAAGUGAAAGACGGUCUUGCUGUCACUUAUAGAUGGAUCCGCGCUGCAUUAGCUAGUUGGUAAGGUAACGGCUUACCAAGGCAACGAUGCAUAGCCGACCUGAGAGGGUGAUAGGCCACACUGGAACUGAGACACGGUCCAGACUCCUACGGGAGGCAGCAGUAGGGAAUCUUCCGCAAUGGGCGAAAGCCUGACGGAGCAACGCCGCGUGAGUGAUGAAGGUCUUCGGAUCGUAAAACUCUGUUAUUAGGGAAGAACAUAUGUGUAAGUAACUGUGCACAUCUUGACGGUACCUAAUCAGAAAGCCACGGCUAACUACGUG
rnacentral:rRNA from 1 species